rnacentral:lncRNA from 1 species
GGGACUUUAAGGAGGCCCUGAAACAUUCUUGGCUGAAGCAACAAGGCUGGCGCGCGGAGCCUUUAAGGAGGCCCAGAGUGGAGUAGUUGCAGUGCGGAGUGCUCCGGGUCCUGGCUCCACAAAGAUAGGACAGAUCUGUGAUGUAAGGAGAAAGAAGCAUGAAGAGCAGGUAUCUGUUAUGGAAGGAGACCUCCUGAUCUGAGACCUUCCCCACCAGCUGGGGAGUCCUGAGAUAGAGUGGACCCUGGAAUUGCUAGACCUGCACCCUGUCUUAACCCCUCUGUAUGGAUUGUGGAAGGACUGAAGGACAUUUUAACCUUCAGAGAUCAACAGUAGCAGUGUGACAAUGAAGCGUUUGACUCGGAUGAUGGAAAGGACAGCUUGGCAUUCUCCAGACUCUGCCCUUUUCCAGGAAGAAGAGGAUAUGGCCAGUUCUCUUGUUGACUUUGUGGACUUUGGGCUCUGCUUUGGGCUGCAGAUCACCUGAUCUUGACACAGGCUGUGGGAUGGGCUCCUAGCUCCUCCAGGUUGUGUUCAUUCUGGUGAACGGGCAGCAGCUUCCUGGGGCAAGCUCUUCACUUGCCCAAUCACUGGAGUACAUGGACCAAGUCAAAGGGUGUGUUAAAAUACAAAUUCAACUUGAGUACAUUUUGAAGAUCUUCAGUUCAGUUCAGUUCAGUUCAGUCACUCAGUCGUGUCCGACUCU